rnacentral:misc_RNA from 1 species
AACUUUCGGCAAUGGAUCUCUUGGUUCUGGCAUCGAUGAGGAACGCAGCGAAAUGCGAUAAGUAAUGCGAAUUGCAGAAUUUCCGUGAGUCAUCGAAUCUUUGAACGCACAUUGCGCCCACUGGUAUUCCGGUGGGCAUGCCUGUUCGAGCGUCAUUAUCCCCCCUCAAACCCCCGUGUUUGGUGUUGGGCCGGGUCGUUUGGAGACGAACGACCGGCCCCAAAGACAAUGACGGCGUCCGCGGGACCCUCGGUGCAACGAGCUUUUCGGAGCACGCGUCGAGUUUCAAGGUCCCCCCGGGCCGGUCUUACCUUUAUUUAUUUUUAACAGGUUUACCUCGGAUCAGGUAGGAAUACCCGCUGAACUUAAGCAUAUCAAUAAGCGGAGGCU